rnacentral:rRNA from 1 species
CUACGGGAGGCAGCAGUGGGGAAUAUUGGGCAAUGGGCGCAAGCCUGACCCAGCGACGCCGCGUGGGGGAAGAAGUCUUUCGGGACGUAAACCCAUGUUGUACGGGACGAAGGAAGUGACGGUACCGUACGAGGAAGCCCCGGCAAACUACGUGCCAGCAGCCGCGGUAAUACGUAGGGGGCGAGCGUUGUCCGGAAUCACUGGGCGUAAAGCGUACGUAGGCGGGCUGUUAAGUCGGCCGUGAAAUACACUGGCUCAACCGGUGCAGGUCGGUCGAUACUGGCGGUCUGGAGUAUGGGAGAGGGAACUGGAAUUCCCGGUGUAGCAGUGAAAUGCGUAGAUAUCGGGAGGAACACCAGUGGCGAAGGCGGGUUCCUGGCCCAUGACUGACGCUGAGGUGCGAAAGCCGGGGGAGCGAACGGGAUUAGAAACCCUUGUAGUCC